rnacentral:rRNA from 1 species
CCUACGGGGGGCAGCAGUGGGGAAUAUUGGACAAUGGGGGGAACCCUGAUCCAGCCAUGCCGCGUGUGUGAAGAAGGCCCUCGGGUUGUAAAGCACUUUCAGUGAGGAAGAACGCCUGGUGGUUAAUACCCAUCAGGAAAGACAUCACUCACAGAAGAAGCACCGGCUAACUCCGUGCCAGCAGCCGCGGUAAUACGGAGGGUGCGAGCGUUAAUCGGAAUUACUGGGCGUAAAGCGCGCGUAGGUGGCUUGAUAAGCCGGUUGUGAAAGCCCCGGGCUCAACCUGGGAACGGCAUCCGGAACUGUCAAGCUAGAGUGCAGGAGAGGAAGGUAGAAUUCCCGGUGUAGCGGUGAAAUGCGUAGAGAUCGGGAGGAAUACCAGUGGCGAAGGCGGCCUUCUGGACUGACACUGACACUGAGGUGCGAAAGCGUGGGUAGCAAACAGGAUUAGAUACCCUUGUAGGC